CGCGAAUAGCUCAUUACAACAGCUAUAAUCUACUUGUUUUUUCCAUUAAACGGAUAACUGCGGUAAUUCUGGAGCCAAUACGUGCCUAAAAGCCGACGUAGUAAUACGGCGGCUGCACUUAUCGGAGCAAAAUCAAUCUUGAUUCAAUGCUAACUCUGGAUAACCAAGCUUAUCGCAUGUCGCAGGACGGCGAAGUAACAUUCGAGUAUCUGCCCUAUCAUCUAUCGUAGGUAGUGUAUUGGACUACCCAGGAGGUAACGGGUAACGGAGAAUCAGGGUUCGACUCCGGAGAGGGAGCCUUAGAAGCGGCUACCAUCGCUAAGGCGAGCAGCAGGCGCGCAACUUAUCCACUGUCCACUAGGACGAGAUAGUGACGAGAAAUAACAAGCUCGUUCUCUUUGAGGUCGAGCAUUGGAAUGGACCGAAUGUAAACGAUUCGGUGAGUACCCACGAGAGGGCAAGUCGGUGCCAGCAGCCGCGGUAAUUCCAGCU
rnacentral:rRNA from 1 species